AGUGAACGCUGGCGGUAUGCCUAACACAUGCAAGUCGAACGACAGCACAGUAAGAUCUUGCUCUUACGGGUGGCGAGUGGCGGACGGGUGAGGAAUAGAUCGGAAUCUACUUUUUCGUGGGGGAUAACGUAGGGAAACUUACGCUAAUACCGCAUACUACCUACGGGUGAAAGCAGUGGAUCUUCGGACCUUGCGCGACUGAAUUAGCCGAUGUCGGAUUAGCUAGUUGGCGGGGUAAAGGCCCACCAAGGCGACGAUCCGUAGCUGGUCUGAGAGGAUGAUCAGCCACACUGGAACUGAGACACGGUCCAGACUCCUACGGGAGGCAGCAGUGGGGAAUAUUGGACAAUGGGCGCAAGCCUGAUCCAGCAAUACCGCGUGGGUGAAGAAGGCCUUCGGGUUGUAAAGCCCUUUUGUUGGGAAAGAAAAGCAGCAGGUUAAUACCCCGCUGUUCUGACGGUACCCAAAGAAUAAGCACCGGCUAACUUCGUG
rnacentral:rRNA from 1 species